ACACACACACACACACACACACACACGCGCGCGCACACACGCAUGCACGCACACACACACACACACCCCCACACACAUAACACGUACAUACACACGCACACACACACACACACACACACACACGCGCGCGCACACACGCAUGCACGCACACACACACACACACCCCCACACACAUACACAAACGCACACACGUAACACACACG
rnacentral:lncRNA from 1 species